UACGUAGGUGGCAAGCGUUGUCCGGAUUUACUGGGCGUAAAGGAUGCGUAGGCGGAUAUAGUAAGUCAGAUGUGAAAUACCCGGGCUCAACUUGGGUGCUGCAUUUGAAACUGAUAUAUCUAGAGUGCGGGAGAGGUAAGUGGAAUUCCUAGUGUAGCGGUGAAAUGCGUAGAGAUUAGGAAGAACACCAGUGGCGAAGGCGAACUUACUGGACCGUAACUGA
rnacentral:rRNA from 1 species